rnacentral:rRNA from 1 species
UACGAAGGGGGCUAGCGUUGCUCGGAAUCACUGGGCGUAAAGGAUGCGUAGGCGGGUCUUUAAGUCAGGGGUGAAAUCCUGGAGCUCAACUCCAGAACUGCCUUUGAUACUGAGGAUCUUGAGUCCGGGAGAGGUGAGUGGAACUGCGAGUGUAGAGGUGAAAUUCGUAGAUAUUCGCAAGAACACCAGUGGCGAAGGCGGCUCACUGGCCCGGUACUGACGCUGGGGCACGAAAGCGUGGGGAGCAAACAGG